rnacentral:rRNA from 1 species
UACAGAGGGUGCAAGCGUUAAUCGGAAUUACUGGGCGUAAAGGGUGCGUAGGUGGCUACAUAAGUUAGGCGUGAAAUCCCCGGGCUCAACCUGGGAACUGCGUUUAGUACUGUGGAGCUAGAGUAUGGGAGAGGGAAGUGGAAUUUCCGGUGUAGCGGUGAAAUGCGUAGAUAUCGGAAGGAACAUCAGUGGCGAAGGCGACUUCCUGGACUGAUACUGACACUGAGGCACGAAAGCGUGGGGAGCAAACAGG